rnacentral:rRNA from 1 species
GGAUAACUACGGAAAAGCUGUAGCUAAUACUUGCUUUAGCACUCUUGAUUAAGUUCUUGAGUGUGUACUUGUUAAGCCUUUUAAGAAAAAAGUUAUUAACUUAAGGAAUUAUAACAAAGAAGUAACACGUAAUGGAUCCGUCCAUUUUUAGUGUGUAUCAAUCGAGUUUCUGACCUAUCAGCUUUUGAUGUUAGGGUAUUGGCCUAACAUGGCUAUGACGGGUAACGGGGAAUUAGAGUUCGAUUCCGGAGAGGGAGCCUGAGAAAUAGCUACCACAUCUAAGGAAGGCAGCAGGCGCGUAAAUUACCCAAUUCUAAAGAAGAGAGGUAGUGACAAGAAAUAACAAUACAAGGCCAAUCUGGCUUUGUAAUUGGAAUGAUGGGAAUUUAAAACCUUCCCAAAACUCAAUUGGAGGGCAAGUCUGGUGCCAGCAGCCGCGGUAAUUCCAGCUCCAAUAGCGUAUAUUAAAAUUGUUGCAGUUAAAACGCUCGUAGUUGAAUUUCAAAGAAUCGAUAUUUUAAGUAACGCUUUUAGCUUAAUCCACAUAACUGAUACUACGUAUCGACUUUGUGCGCAUUUUGCUAUUAUGUGUUCUUUUAAUUAAAAUGAUUCUUUUUAAGAUCUUUUUUUGCUUCGGCAUUAGGAGAUCUUGUUACUUUGAGUAAAUUAGAGUGUUCAAAGCAAACAGAUAUAGCAUUGCGCGUUUGAAUACUACAGCAUGGAAUAACAAAAUUGAACAAGUCAGAAUUUUGUUCUUUUUUCUUAUUUUGGCUUAGUUACGAUUAAUAGGAGUAGCUUGGGGGCAUUUGUAUUCAGAUGUCAGAGGUGAAAUUCUUAGAUUUUCUGGAGACAAACAACUGCGAAAGCAUUUGCCUAAAAUACUUCCAUUAAUCAAGAACGAAAGUUAAGGGAGUGAAGACGAUCAGAUACCGUCGUAAUCUUAACCAUAAACUAUGCCGACUAGGCUUUGGAUGAAAGAUUUUAAAAUAAGAGUUUUUCUCUUCGGAGUGAAACUCUUAGAUUGCUUCCUUCAGUGCCU